GUUGCAGUUACUUCCAGCGGUACCACGGCCCAUUUACCUCACACCGGGUUGUAUCGAAGCCCUCCGAAGCCCUCCGAAGCCCUCCAAAGCCCUCUGCCUCACUACAACAAAUGACAACCGCCAGCAGCGCCAGCGUGUUCCCAGCCACUUUGCAUGCAAUGUUUCCCAUCAUCCCACCAAGUUGUUUGUUCCAGCAGUACAAAGCAGAAAGGGUACAACGCUUCCUGCGCGUGUCCAGUUGAUGAAUUUGUAGCGCGUUAUCGACGUCGUCCGAUCACACCGAGCGUGUUGAUCGCUUGCCGGUCAAUGUGCUCCAACUGCCAAGAUGGAUGUCAGAUGUUGAUCUUGUCCAUCUGGAAUAUCACACGACCUCAUCGAUGGAGCACUUUUAGAAUGAAUCAUCAGCUGGUGUCAAACCAGAUCUGGCCCACCCCAUCACUUUAUGUGGCUCACUACA